AAUAAUGGUUAAUCCACUACUGCACAGAGUCUGAAAUGCAGGUGUACAGCAGUGCUGAUAAAAGACCAAAACAGCAUCCUGUCAGUUCUUUUCAGAAGACUUAAUACACAGUAAAAUGCUACCUUGCUUUGCAGAAACUCGGUGCACGUUUGUAAAAGUAUCUGUGUAAUGAUUUUGAGAGGUCCUUUAACACAUUUGUUGGAAGAAUUUACAAGAUUUUGGAGGUAGAGUAGUGGCAUUUCCAUACAUGCAAAUGAAAACAACUUUGAAGAUUUGAGAAUUUUCAAAAACUGUUAUUCAAUCCACUCAUAAGUAUAUUUAAUUUGCA
rnacentral:lncRNA from 1 species